UAGUUGUUUUUAGCGAUAAGUAAUUAGUUUUAUGUUAAUCAUCCCAUUUCCAUCUCUUCAACUUAAGAAAGAACACGAUCUCAAAUCUUCUUCUUUCCCUAUCGAAUAGAAAAACUGAAUCCUCUUAGCGCCAAAUUUCCCUCUAACAUGUUCGUGAAAUUAAAAACUUCUCCCUCCCACGGCCAGGAACUGCCCACCUAUUAACCUAAAAAAAAUGAUCUCAUAUCUUCUUCUUCCCCAACCCUAUUUAAAAACUGAAACCUCUAUAACAACUGAACCGUCGUCCUCCUUUUUCCUCGCUCCACCUCAUCAAAUAACUAGGGUAUCAAUUCCAUUCUCUCGAUCGAAGAAGGGGAAAAAGAAAACAACAACUAGAGUUUCAGUUUCCAAUAUAAUUUGGGUUGUUUUGAGUUUGGGUUUUGGUUAUUUAGUUUGAUUUUGAGCGAAGGCUCAACCAUUCUUUCGUUUAUAAGUUACAUCUUACUUUCGGUAGUUUUAUUUUGGUUAUUUGGCUUGAUUUUGUUUUCAAUUUGCAAUUUAGGGGUUUUUGUCUAGGCUUAUAAAACUAACUGUGAAGAUUGAUUUUUUUGUUGUAGCUGGUACGUUUCAUGGUAUUUGAUUGACUUUGGAUCAUGGGUUCUGUUUCAUAUUCAAGCAUUUAGGUCUUUGAUUUAAUAUUGUUAUUUGGAUCUUCAGGGGUGAAGGAAAAAACAAAGAGAAGUUAUCGAAAUCACAACAACUUGUUAUUUUAAGAAUUUGGCGGCAUUUUGGGAGACUUGGAGAUCACUAUUACGGGUAUGAUAUAUGGGUGCAGGGUGAUACUGCAAAUCUUGUUCAAAGGGUCUGAGGUGGAGGAAGAAGAAUGAGGGAAGGAAAAUCGGGUUGGGGUUGUAAGAAGGCUGUGGUGUAUGCCUUUUUUUCCUGUGUUAAGUGGGCGUGCUUUAAAUGAAGUGACUCGAUUAUCUUCACGAGUGUUGGCGCGCUUAGUUCAGGACAUUCUUGGAAUCAACUGUUGAGUCAAAGUUUGCUAAUGGAUAACGCAUUUCUUUUAACAAAAACUGCAUUAAUAUUUGUGAUACGCUUACUGUGAUUCUUGGUUGCUAAUGUAAAGUUGAAUUCAUAUUUUAAA